UGGCUCAGAACGAACGCUGGCGGCAGGCUUAACACAUGCAAGUCGAACGCUCCGCAAGGAGAGUGGCAGACGGGUGAGUAACACGUGGGAACGUACCCUUUACUACGGAACAACUCCGGGAAACUGGAGCUAAUACCGUAUGUGCCCUUCGGGGGAAAGAUUUAUCGGUAAAGGAUCGGCCCGCGUUGGAUUAGCUAGUUGGUGGGGUAAAGGCCUACCAAGGCGACGAUCCAUAGCUGGUCUGAGAGGAUGAUCAGCCACAUUGGGACUGAGACACGGCCCAAACUCC
rnacentral:rRNA from 1 species